CACUAACUGUCUCUGUUUUCAUGCUAUAAUGAUUAGUUGUAAUCCUAAAAAAGGUGAUAUUUUUUAGUUAGUUUGCAGGACAACUGUUGAGGUGUUUACGCCAUUCACUUUGUUGUGACAUGUGAAUCCGUUUGUAUGCGGCCAUUUCAGAUAAGUUCUCUUUUUUCAGAUGUUACUCUUGCAAGAAGACAGUUGGGUAUUAAUAUGUAAUUUAGGGAUAUGGCUCUCUUGAAUAUAAGGUUAAUUUCGUGUUUUUUCUUUAACCGAAGUGUAUCAGUGUUCCUCAGGUGACUGCAUUUAUAUGACUUUGAUGAUUUUCGAACCAUGAUGCUAUGUUUCAGUAAAGAAGAAACUAAGAUUUUUGAGUCUAUUGAAACGCGGAACUUAUGCACAAAGUUACAUUGAAGAUAUCCUUAAAGCACUUCACAAGGAACUUACCUAUAGACUUCGAGUUAGUUUGCAGGACAACUGUUGAGGUGUUUACGCCAUUCACUUUGUUGUGACAUGUGAAUCCGUUUGUAUGCGGCCGUUUCAGAUAAGUUCUCUUUUUUCAUAUGUUACUCUUGCAAGAAGACAGUUGGGUAUUAAUAUGUAAUUUAGGGAUAUGGCUUUCUUGAAUAUAAGGUUAAUUUCGUGUUUUUUCUUUAACCGAAGUGUAUCAGUGUUCCUCAGGUGACUGCAUUUAUAUGACUUUGAUGAUUUUCGAACCAUGAUGCUAUGUUUUAGUAAAGAAGAAACUAAGAUUUUUGAGUCUAUUGGCAAGGCAUUUUAGGUUCCUAUGUUCAUGUAUUUUCUAUGACAUGGUAACCUUUUAGUAUUCAGCCAUGGUAGAAUUUUUUUUCUUUAAAUGUUUACAUGUAUGAGCCUAUGCAGCUGCCAUUAUGUCGUUAUGUUUUUAGGAGUCUGAAUUUCGGUUAUCGGUCGAAAAGAUGAAGUAGCUGCAAGUAGGGGUGUUCAUUAUUCGGUUAGAAAGGAAUAAACCGAAAAACCAAACUGGACUAGAACCAAAAAAACGAACUGAAAUUUAAUUUUGUUGUUCGGUUCAUAACUGUAACUGAAUUGGUUAUUCAGUUAUCCGGUUCGGUUAUCAUCUAUCCAUAUACAAAGAUCCAGUUGCAAGCAGGGGUGUUCGUUAUUCGGUUAGAAACGAAUAAACCAAAAACCGAACUAGACUAACACCAUUUUGUUGGGUAUGAAUCAGAUGCCAUUUUGUUGUUGUCUAUGUGCUUGUGAUAAUGCCUCUAUUUUGAUUGUAACUUAUGCUUGAAAGACUGUAUAAAGGAUAUGGAUAUUAUAAAUAGAUGUAGGUUUUUUUGUUGGGCAUGAAUCAAAUGCCAUUGUUUUUUGAUGAAUUUUAAACUUUGGUUCUAUUGAAGGAUGGGGAACAAAUGAUGGUUUGAUAGUUGAGUUUUUUUUCUCAUAGAAACGCGGAACGGCGAAUGCUUAUUCGACAAACUUAUGCACAAAGUUACAUUGAAGAUAUCCUUAAAGCACUUCACAAGGAACUUACCUAUAGACUUCGAGCGUUGGCUUUUACUAAAUGGACCUGCACAACUAAUGUUGGAAGUACAAAAUGAGUUUGAUUUUUUUGUUCUUUAAAAGUUGCAUACAAUAGUUUUUUGCUAUAUAAUCAUUAACUAUCAAAUUGAAUGCUUAUUUUGUUUUGGAUGUUUUUUUACUGUUAGAAAGAUUUAUUUUGCUUAUAUUAUUCAUAAUUUUGUGAAUAUAUGGAAGAUUCAUUUGUUAAUUAAAAUAUCUUCAUGAUUUCAAUUUAAUAGAGGUGGCAAGAUGAGCGGGUUAGGUAGCAAGUUAAAAAUAUUUGAAAUGAAAUAAAUCAUAUUUAAUUGCGAGUCACAUAUAAUUUAGUCUUUAGAGAUUUAGUUGCCUAAUAAUUUAGUCUUUUAGAGUUAUAGUUGCCUAAUUUUAUUUGCUUUAUAGGUCAUAUGUUAUAUUGUACUUUCAUUUGAGGUAGGGAAGCGAAAGUGUAUGAUGAAGUAAUUGUGGAAGCUUGGUGAUGGGAUCUAAUGCCUCUUGACAUUUGCUUCUUAAAACCUGUUGGUAAUGGUAAUGGUAAUUUAACUUUGGAUCAACAAUGUGAAGUAAUAAUGAAAGCUAUUUUUGACCUCUUACAAACCUUUACGGAUUUCAUUUUGGAUGAACAUCAAGUGGAAGUACAUUUUCAUUUCUUUACAAACCGAAAGAUAGUAUGGUUGAUGCUCCUUAAUAGCCUUUAUUCAUGAAAUUAUAAAUAUAUUUAAAUUAUACACUUUAGUCUUCCUCAUAAGAGUACAGUAGCUAUUAUAGUUGCUUUUAAAUUGUGCCAUGUAGCUUUUAAUUUUACAGCUCAACUUUCAUCUUAAUAAAUAUAUAUCUGGUACACACGUAGAGAGAGAACAUAGCCACCACCGCUCAGCAAAUGACGAAAAGAAGAAUCGCUGAUGCACUCCCUCUAGCCAGUAAGACACUACUCGGUUGCCGAAUCUUUCUUCCAUGUGGAUUUCCUUCGUUUGUUUGACGCCGAUGGUCUAUGUUGAUGAAGCCGUUGUCAAUUUCGAUGCUUUUGGUAUAUAUAAAGUUGUUUAUAAAGAGAUCUUCAAUAAGUUGUGAUUUUUUUGUCCUAUUCAUGUAUUUCAAUUAUUUCAUGUACUCUCUAACAUUUUCGUUAAUAUUUCAACGUAUAUAAAAUUAUAAUUUUUACUUCACAAUUUUAAAGGGCUUAAUUUUCCUGUUUAGCCACCCGUGUAACA